UCGUAUGGUCCAGCUAAUUUGCAGGUUUGAUUUGAUCUAGCUACAGAUAUCCAUUGCUUUCGAUGUUAGGAUUGUUUUUUUUUUCAGAGGAACGGCGUUAGAUCUACUGUAUUUCUAUAACAACGUCCAAUAGUGUUGAUCAAAAGCUGCCUGAACCAUGCCUGAUUGGUCAGAGGUCAAGUCCCAGUUGACGGCCUUGACCUUCAAAAACGUGACGCUCUACAAGAGGUCAGUCAUGCUGUGCGUGCGGGAAAUAUUGGCCAUAGUUGCCGCAUUCUUCACUGUUGUUCUUCUAAUCAUGUCGGGAGCUGAAGACAAGCAAUCAGUGGAGUUCACACGACGGGAAAUUACUGACACGAAAACCUUCUUUUACUACGCUCCAAACACGUCGGACUUUAAUGAAAUGGUCUACAUCGGUA